AAAGUCGUAACAAGGUUUCCGUAGGUGAACCUGCGGAAGGAUCAUUAAAAAAAAAUAAAGAAUUUCGUAUUCUUAAACCCCUGCAGUGUACUUGUUCAUGUUGCUUCCGUGGGUAGCAGGUCUUAUGCUUGCGUUCACAUUCAUUGUGGGCCCACGGGAGGUAAUUAUUCACUUCGUCUUCAUAUGAUAUCUGUCUGAAAUUGAUUAGUUUGUUAAUGUUAAAAACUUUCAACAACGGAUCUCUUGGUUCUC
rnacentral:misc_RNA from 1 species